CACAGUCUGCACUACUCUCUUGCGAUAAUAGGCAUAAUAAUGGGCUUACUUCUUGGUGUGGGAUGAUUUCCACAUAAUUAAGUUGGUAUAUAUUCCUCAGGUAUUUAGAUGGUGAAGACAUAUAUGCAAAUGGGGCUUAUGUGGGUUUGGCUUAACUAGGAGAAGCAGGAUCAAGGGCAAAGAGAAUGCAAGGUUGACCAUUUAAGUUUUGCUUUGCUUUUAAAAAAAAUGCGUUUACUUUCUGGUUGUGUUUUAGCAGAACCUGUGCCGUAAAUGAAGCUUAUGUAUUAUGGUUAUAUCAGGUAUAUUGGACCAAAGCAGAUGCGAAUGGGAGUUUCAAAAUUAAAAAUAUUCGAACUGGAGAAGUUCUUAAUCCAUAGCUCUCUUCUUUAGCUAAUCCACGGAUGCCAAUCGGUCUCAUCUUAACUCUUUUCUAAUUUAAAUUCUAAAACACCA
rnacentral:lncRNA from 1 species